AUGGUGAAGUUCCUGAAGCCCGGCAAGGCGGUGAUCCUGCUGCAGGGCAGGUACGCGGGGAAGAAGGCGGUGAUCGUGCGCGUGUUCGAGGAGGGCACCCGCGACCGCCCGUACGGGCACUGCCUCGUCGCCGGGCUGGCCAAGUACCCGAAGAAGGUGAUCCGCAAGGACUCGGCCAAGAAGACGGCCAAGAAGUCCCGCGUCAAGGUGUUCCUCAAGCUCGUCAACUUCACCCAUCUCAUGCCCACCCGCUAUACCCUCGACGUCGACCUCAAGGAGGUGGCCUCCGGCGCGCCCGACUCCCUCACCUCCAAGGACAAGAAGGUGGGCGCCGCCAAGGCCGCCAAGGCCAAGCUCGAGGAGAGGUUCAAGACCGGCAAGAACAGGUGGUUCUUCACCAAGCUCCGCUUCUAG
rnacentral:rRNA from 1 species